GACGAACGCUGGCGGCGUGCUUAACACAUGCAAGUCGAACGGAAAGGCCCUGCUUUUGUGGGGUGCUCGAGUGGCGAACGGGUGAGUAACACGUGAGUAACCUGCCCUUGACUUUGGGAUAACUUCAGGAAACUGGGGCUAAUACCGGAUAGGAGCUCCUGCUGCAUGGUGGGGGUUGGAAAGUUUCGGCGGUUGGGGAUGGACUCGCCGCUUAUCAGCUUGUUGGUGGGGUAGUGGCUUACCAAGGCUUUGACGGGUAGCCGGCCUGAGAGGGUGAGCGGCCACAUUGGGACUGGGAUGCGGCCCAGACUCCUACGGGAGGCAGCAGUGGGGAAGAUUGCACAAUGGGCGGAAGCCUGAUGCAGCAACGCCGCGUGCGGGAUGACGGCCUUCGGGUUGUAAACCGCUUUCGCCUGUGACGAAGCGUGAGUGACGGUAAUGGGUAAAGAAGCACCGGCUAACUACGUG
rnacentral:rRNA from 1 species